CCUACGGGCGGCAGCAGUGAGGAAUAUUGCGCAAUGGGGGAAACCCUGACGCAGCCAUGCCGCGUGAGUGAAGAAGGUCUUCGGUUUGUAAAGCUCUUUCGGCCGUGACGAUGAUGACAGUAGCUUCCUAAGAAGCCCCGGCAAACUUCGUGCCAGCAGCCGCGGUAAUACGAAGGGUGCGAGCGUUAUCCGGAAUUACUGGGUGUAAAGGGAGUGUAGGCGGAUAUGUAAGAUAGCGGUGAAAUGCCGGGGCUCAACCCUGGAACUGCCAUUAUGACUAAGUAUCUAGAGUGAUGGAGAGGAUAGCGGAAUACCCAGUGUAGAGGUGAAAUGCGUAGAUAUUGGGUAGAACACCAGUGGCGAAGGCGGCUAUCUGGCCAUUUACUGACGCUGAGGCUCGAAAGCAUGGGGAGCAAACAGGAUUAGAUACCCGAGUAGUC
rnacentral:rRNA from 1 species